rnacentral:rRNA from 1 species
AGAGUUUGAUCCUGGCUCAGAUUGAACGCUGGCGGCGUGCUUAACACAUGCAAGUCGAGCGAGAAAGUUCUCUUCGGAGAAUGAGUAGAGCGGCGCACGGGUGAGUAACGCGUGGAUAAUCUGCCCCGAAGAUCGGGAUAACAGUUGGAAACGACUGCUAAUACCGAAUGUUCUGCAUAUUUAACUUUAUGUGGUAAAGAUGGCCUCUAUUUAUAAGCUAUCGCUUUGGGAUGAGUCCGCGUCUCAUUAGAUAGUUGGUGGGGUAAUGGCCUACCAAGUCAACGAUGAGUAGCUGGUCUGAGAGGAUGAUCAGCCACACUGGGACUGAAACACGGCCCAGACUCCUACGGGAGGCAGCAGUGGGGAAUAUUGCGCAAUGGGGGAAACCCUGACGCAGCGACGCCGCGUGCGGGAAGAAGGCCUUCGGGUCGUAAACCGCUGUCAGGAGGGAAGAAACUGUUAGAGUCGAAUAGGCUCUUUCACUGACGGUACCUCCAGAGGAAGCAC